rnacentral:rRNA from 1 species
UACGUAGGGUGCAAGCGUUAAUCGGAAUUACUGGGCGUAAAGCGCGCGUAGGCGGUUUAGUCAGUCAGAUGUGAAAGCCCUGGGCUUAACCUGGGAACUGCAUUUGAUACUGCUGAACUGGAGUAUGGUAGAGGGAAGUGGAAUUUCGGGUGUAGCGGUGAAAUGCGUAGAUAUCCGAAGGAACACCAGUGGCGAAGGCGACUUCCUGGACCAAUACUGACGCUGAGGUGCGAAAGCGUGGGUAGCAAACAGG